GGGAAGACCAGAGAAGGCCAUGCCUAGGGGAAGGGAUGUCAGGAAGGACAGAUAAAUGCUGAACCCUUGGGUAGGACAAAAGGAAGGACAGACAGGCUUGUGUUCAGGAGAGAUCCAGACAUGCUUUGAUGCCCCCAGAGCGUCCACAGCCGCCUCAGACGCCAGACCCGCGGCUCUCCUCCUCCAGCUGAGUAUCGGAUGACCUGGCAGCCCCCAUCCAGCAUCGGGAAGGAAGACCCCUGAAUUCCUUGUGUAGUACCUUGGGAGUGGAAGGACACGUUUCUAUGGCAACAUCAGCUUUGUCAAUCAAGCCAAAGAGGCAGGAUCUGGAGGUUGGGUCUUUCCUAUUCUCCUGGCUGGAAUUCUCACCUCGACAUUUUCUAACCAAGCAGAGAGGCAAGCAGGUGUAGGAAGUCCCACAUCUGAUGAAGCAACAGAGCGGUGUGGAAU
ensembl:lncRNA